GACGAACGCUGGCGGCGUGCUUAACACAUGCAAGUCGAACGGAAAGGCCCUGCUUUUGUGGGGUUCUGGAGGGGGGAACGGGGGAGUAACAGGUGAGUAACCUGCCCUUGACUUUGGGAUAACUUCAGGAAACUGGGGCUAAUACCGGAUAGGAGCUGCUGCUGCAUGGUGGGGGUUGGAAAGUUUCGGCGGUUGGGGAUGGACUCGCGGCUUAUGAGCUUGUUGGUGGGGGAGGGGCUUACCAAGGGUUGGGCGGGUAGCCGGCCUGAGAGGGUGAACGGCCACAUUGGGACUGCGAUACGGCGCAGACUCCUACGGGAGGCAGCAGUGGGGAAUAUUGCACAAUGAGCGGAAGCCUGAUGCAGAAACGCCGCGUGCGGGAUGACGGCCUUCGGGUUGUAAACCGCUUUCGCCUGUGACGCAGCGUGAGUGACGGUAAUGGGUAAAUAAGCACCGGCUAACUACGUG
rnacentral:rRNA from 1 species